rnacentral:tmRNA from 1 species
UCCCUUGUAAGUUCCGCGCGCCACGCCUAAAUUGAGACUGUCCUUCGGGACUAUGAACAUAAACGCGCUCGUAAUAAGCGGAUCGGACCCGGGGGCGGUACCCGGCGACUCCACCAAAUACCUUCAUUUGAGGUCCAUGGGGUCGAAAUAGGAUCGACGAACGUCUAAAGGGGUUUGCUUUGUUUCGGUGAGUUACCACCGUUAUCGGUACAUUUAAGCUAGUUGCAAAUGACAACGACGCUCCGAUGGCUCUGGCUGCUUAAGCAGUCCGAAAAGUCGAAACUUUAAGCCCUAGCGCAUUGCUGCCCUAGGCGGGGUUCGCAGGUACCUGGCAACAGAAACCUGCACU